rnacentral:rRNA from 1 species
AAUCUUAUCUAUAGUGUUGAAAGCACCAGUUCUUCCGAUCAUUGAAGUUAAGCAACGUUGGGCCCGGUUAGUACUUGCAUGGGUGACCGGCUGGGAAUACCGGAUGUUGCCGAUU